CAGGUAUGCUAAAAAUGAUUAUCCGGAUUUGGCAGGAGUGACAGCUUUCCUACGUGUGGCUUUGUCUCCCCCUCGUGCUUCUACCAGUUACAGUUGUGUGAUUGCACAAGAGACACCUGAAAUGACAUCACGUGGGCCAAUGAUUACAUCGACCCCCACUCCGCAGAUUCUGCCAAGUCCACAAGUGGAACCACGAGCUCUGUUACGUGUUGCAGCCUUUGUAACAUUUUUUUUUUGUCUUUGGACAGGUGCAGAACAUCAGUAUGACAUCAACAGUGGGAGAAGAAACUGAUGAGAGCUACUACCCGUCUGAGGAUAGCUUCUUUGAAGCGUACAGGAACACUUUCUGUUGAGGUAUACUUAUGACUAAGGACGGCCAAUUAAUUUUCUAGAGACACCACUACACCUGAACUGUCCAGUGGAACAGCGAAAAUUCAUUGUCUUGCCCCACAACUGGAAUUGUUCAAAGCAUGUCGCAAUUGCAGUGGGCCAGGCAAGGUUACUACAUCAGUUAGGGGCACGCUUCUGACUGUUGUGUCGGAAUGUGCAAGUGGCCACAAAUUCUCUUAAACAGUCAGCCAGAAUUGAACAGGAUGGCUGCAGGAAACGUUUUGCUCUCCGGUGCAAUACUCUUCAACAGAGCCAGUCCCAUCAAGGUUCUUCGACUGCUGAGCUCUAUCAACAUACAAAUGAUUUCAAAGGUUGCAUACAGCACAUAUAAGAAAAGUUGCCUACUGCCUG